GCAGAACGCGAAGAACCUUACCAAGGCUUGACAUCCCUGGAAGGUCUCCGAAAGGAGACUGUGCCUUCGGGAAUCAGGUGGCAGGUGAUGCAUGGCCGUCGUCAGCUCGUGUCGUGAGAUGUUUGGUUAAGUCCAUCAACGAGCGCAACCCUUAUAAAUAGUUGAAUUUUUCUAUUUAGACUGCCUCGGUAACGGGGAGGAAGGAGGGGAUGACGUCAGGUCAGUAUUUCCCUUAUGCCUUGGGCCACAAACACGCUACAAUGGCCGGUACAAAGGGCAGCCAACCCGCGAGGGGGAGCAAAUCCCAUCAAAACCGGUCCCAGUUCGGAUAGCAGGCUGAAACUCGCCUGCUUGAAGUCGGAAUCGCUAGUAACGGUGAGUCAGCUAUAUUACCGUGAAUACGUUCCCGGGUCUUGUACACACCG
rnacentral:rRNA from 1 species